CUCUAAUCUUAGACAUUGAAGAGCAUCGACAGCAAAAUUCCAUGCCUGUCCGUGAGUUCUUCAGCUACCGAGGCUAUGAUGGUGUUCAAGAAACCUAAAGGAUAGCGUUGAUACUCGAGAUGUAACUGUGGCACCCCACCAAUACUCACACCUUCCAUUGAGCUCUCCUCCUCCAAGCUCAAAAAAGAGAACCCUUCUCGGUUUGGCUUGCAGCCCAAAUCCUUCCAAAAUCGGCCC
rnacentral:lncRNA from 1 species